rnacentral:lncRNA from 1 species
AUGUUAUCACUGCAAUCAGAUGCUUCAGCACUUCAGACAAUCCAAUGCUUGACAGAACCAGUCAAAUUUAGCUACAAGGAUCAGAGAUACCACUCCCUCACAAGAAGUUCAAAUAUACUUGUUUUUACAGCUAACAGCAGCCAGCUCCAGCCACAAAAGCAAAAUCUGUCUCUCAGAAAAAAAAACCAAAGCCCUAGCACCUCUAGUACAUCCAGCAACAAAAGCACCUACCAGAGAACAUCAAAUCUCUAUACAGUGUCAGAAUUGAGCAGUGGACCCAAGCCUGCAGACAGGAAGCAAGCUACUGACAGAGGAUGCUCAGCCUACAAAAGAGCGGUAUCCUGUGGAUCUUGUCCCUGCAGCGACAAAGAGCCUCCAUCCUUCACCCACAGAGAGCCUCAGAAGACUGAGGAUAAAGACAAGAGACACAUACCAGAGAACAAAGUAAUAAACAGAUCCCAGAGAACUAUUAACAUCUCAGCCUUUAUGCAGUCUUGAUGGUAGACAAUUACAGUGAUGCCUUUGGAUAGCUGCUAUGCUAGAACUAGUCAACAGUGAGAAACAUAUACAGAUUUUUUUUUUUUUUUAAAUAAUCUGCUUGGUUCUGAGAGUCAUUAUACAUGGUUGAAAUAAAAUUACCAUGUGCAGUUAUUGGAAGAUGCA